rnacentral:rRNA from 1 species
UACGGGGGGGACGAGCGUUGUUCGGAUUUACUGGGCGCAAAGGGCGCGUAGGCGGGUCUUCAAGUCGGAUGUGAAAACUAUCAGCUUAACUGGUAGCCUGCAUUCGAUACUGUUGAUCUUGAGUACGGGAGAGGAGAGUGGAAUUCCAGGUGUAGCGGUGAAAUGCGUAGAUAUCUGGAAGAACACCAGUAGCGAAGGCGGCUCUCUGGACCGAUACUGACGCUCAAGCGCGAAGGCUUGGGGAGCAAACAGG